ACCUGGGUGGCUCUGUUGGUUGAGCAUCUGACUUCAGCUCAGGUCAUGAUCUUGGGGUUUGUGAGUUCGAGCCUCACAACAGGCU
rnacentral:tRNA from 1 species